GCAGUCGCGGGGAAGCGUCCCGCGCCGCUGCGCCCUCCCGCCGGGGGCCCCGCCUGCCCUCCCGCCCGCCCGCCCGCCCGCCCGCCGUGGCGCGCUGAGCUGCGGGCUGGGGCCGGCCGGGCCGGGCUGUGCUCUAUGGACGAGGGCAGCCCGCUGUCGCCCAAGGCCAGCGCCUUCAGGAUCGCCUCUCUCAUUGCAGCCGCCGGUCAGCCGGACCGGGAGCCGCAGCAGCAGCCCGGGGGGCCCUUCGCGGCGCUGGACGCCCAGCUGAGCGCCCACGGGGGUCUGCCCAAGCCCUACAGCCCCGCCGCCCUCGCCGCCGCUGCCCGCAGGAGGAUGCAUUUCAGCGCCGUCACCAGGGACAUGGAAGCCUUCGCGGCCAACAGCCUGAGCAGCCUCAACGCCUCGGCCGCCUACCCGCACCUGGCGCCCCCCUCGCCCGCCCAGCCCGCCGCCGCCGCCGCCUACGGCCACCAUGAGCCCCCCCAGCCGCAGCCCCACUACGAGCCCUGCGCCGCCCAGCAGCAGCAGCACCAGCAGGCGCACCAGCAGCAGCAGCAGCAGCAGCAGCCUCCUUCGCAGCAGCAGCAGCAGCACGGCUACCCCUUCGCCGGCUCCGGCUCCAACCCUCCUCCGGCGCCCGGCUCCGAGACCCCCGAAGGGGCGGGGGGCGGCAGCUCGGCGCCUUCUUCGGCCAAGGCGGCGGUGAAGAAGAACGCCAAGGUGGCCAACGUGAGCGUGCAGCUGGAGAUGAAGGCGCUCUGGGACGAGUUCAACCAGCUGGGCACCGAGAUGAUCGUCACCAAGGCCGGCAGGCGCAUGUUCCCCACUUUCCAGGUGAAAAUCUUUGGGAUGGACCCCAUGGCUGACUAUAUGCUUUUAAUGGACUUUGUACCUGUGGAUGACAAACGAUACCGGUAUGCAUUUCACAGUUCCUCCUGGCUAGUAGCUGGCAAGGCCGACCCAGCGACUCCUGGGAGAGUCCAUUACCACCCAGAUUCUCCAGCCCGGGGAGCUCAGUGGAUGAAGCAGAUUGUCUCCUUUGAUAAACUUAAGCUGACCAACAAUUUAUUGGAUGACAACGGACAUAUCAUUUUGAACUCCAUGCACAGAUACCAGCCUCGUUUCCACGUGGUCUACGUGGACCCUAGGAAAGACAGCGAGAAGUAUGCCGAAGAGAACUUUAAGACCUUUGUCUUUGAGGAGACCCGCUUCACGGCAGUCACGGCCUACCAGAACCACAGGAUUACCCAGCUCAAGAUUGCCAGCAAUCCUUUUGCGAAAGGAUUCCGAGACUGUGAUCCAGAAGACUGGCCCAGAAAUCACCGACCUGGGGCUCUGCCUCUCAUGAGUGCUUUCGCUAGGUCCAGAAAUCCGGUAUCUUCCCCAGUGCAUCAGAAUGGAAACGAGAAAGACGCAGCUGAGACUCGGCGAGAGUAUGAACGGGAAGUAGCCAGCGGGACACCUCUGCACGCCGAUCCCGCUCACCAGCAGCUCAUGUCUCGGGUGUUGAGCCCAGCGCUGCCUGUGCCCGGUGGAGGCGGCCUGGUUCCACUCACCAGUACGGUCGGAAGCCGGCCCAGCCCUCCACACCAUGAACUGCGUCUAGAGCCACCCGCUUCGGAGACCCUUCAUCAUCAUCCCUACAAACAUCCAGUCUCAGCCUAUGACCAUUACCUGGGAGCAAAGAGCAGACCGACGCCCUACCCUUUGCCAAGCAUCCGGGGACACAGUUAUCACCACCACCAUCACCAUCACAUGAAUCCAGCAGCUGCAGCGGCAGCAGCGGCGGCAGCAGCUGCGGCCAACAUGUAUUCCACCGCGGGAGCUCCUACUGGCUAUGACUAUGGACCGAGAUAACACCACCAUCCAAAGAUUCUCUAAGCUCUGACUGGCUUUUUGCAUGGUUUGAAUUGCUCAGUAGCAUAUGUUUUUGGAGAGCACUAUCUCGCUGGAAGAACUGGCACCGUAGCCUCUGCAAUUCCCCACGGGGGCGCUUUGAUCUCUUGCACAAGUUUUACCCCUCCUCUGCCCCACCUUUCUUGGCACCCUCAGAUUCAUCAAUCAAGACUGGUUUCCUUCUUUAUCCCAGGGGAUGAGACGAUAGGUCGGCUUGACUCGACUCGGUGUGCAAUCAGAUGGACCGAGCUCAGCACCAGUGAUGGAUGGAGGUCAGGACUUCCCCUGCAGCAUUUCACACAACCUCCCACCAUGUUUGGAGGGCACUGAUCCCUCCCCUUCCAGACAUAGAAAUUGCCAGCUGCACUUUUCUUUUGCUCUUUAAAUGAAGACAUGUAUUGCUUUAUUCCCUCGCUGCUGUCAUCAUAGUAUAACCUUUACCUUUUUUUUGCAGUUCUUUACCUGUUCAAAGCGCUUGAGGAAGGCUGCUUCCAACACUGCCUGUUAUAGGUAGGACGGCUAGUCCUGCAGACGGCUCUACAAAAACCAAAACAAGCUGAUAUUUGCCGAUAGCCCGUCUGACAUUAUUGGAUUGUGUCCAAAGCUGUGCAAAAACAUUAAUCAGUUUAACAUUGGCAGAACAGGCUUAUGUGCAACAGACCUGUGCAACUAUGCACCUGGAAGGUUGAACAUCAGCCACGUAUGAGUCACCCAGCCUUUGGGAUCUCUGGCAGACCAACGCUAACCCUGAAGCAUUUAUUUGCUGGGUUUUGUUAGCAACGCUGGCCACCAGCUCACCGUAUACCAUGCUGAAAGAUGCAGUUUGUAUCUCAGCUAUUCAACGUAUCUAUGGCAUCAGGCCUGUGUUUCAAACAGGGCAGAGAGUUUGGGGCCAGCCAGCAAUGCUACCAUAACCAUCCAGUGUCUCAACCACGUAGUAUCUUCACUGAAUGCAAAAAAUGUCCAAGAAGAUCUAUAAGAUCUGUAGCAUGUAAGCCAAAGCUUCAGGAACUUGACCCUUUCUAAAUGGCACUGCAUGAGAACAGUGUAAAUGUAUGAGCGAUUUGCACAGUACUCAUGAUCCCACCACCACAGUAUUCACAUGGAUGCCCAGUUUCCUUGCAAUGCAUCUGCACAGAGGGAGCCACACUAGCUCUCAAAGAGCAGGUCAGCUGCCCACCGUCAGAGCCAUACUGGGGAAAAUGGUGCCCCCCCCCCCCACUUACCUUAGUCAACAAAGGAGGGCAGCAGCAGUCCCGGGCAGCCUGGUGGGGCUGGGCCGAAGGGUGCCUGGUGGGCCCGCAGCAGGCUGCUCCUUCAGUCUGGAGGAACAGGGCAAAGGGGCGGGCCAUGGCAGGCUCUCAGCCCGGCUGCUCUUGAAGGAGUAGCUGGCCUGGGAGCCUGCUGCAGCCCACUGGGCGCCCCGCCCCACGUGAUCUAAUGGGUGGGGCCCGGGUCAGUUGAUCCCCCAUGUUCGCCACCACAGCCCUAGCAGAUACACCACUGCCCACCGUGCAUGCAAGGCUGACUGUCUGAAAAGACCCAAGUAACAGCACUGGAAUUGUAGAUGUAAUUACCUUGCGAUGGAACAAAUGUACUAACCAAAAUCUUUCUAGUAGUAAUAAUACCACAGCAGUGUGUAUUUGAUCAUCAUGUCUUGCAAAAGCUAUUACAACCGAACAAUCCAGCAAUGUUUCCUUCCUGUUUUGCAAACAAAACACACAGAUUUUGCUGGGUUUUAACGUUUCAGAAUGUUGGUGGGGGAGCUGACGUGUGCAAUAUACAUAUAUCGUAACUCGCAUGUCCAAGAAAAGGGUUCUACUUUGAUUUUCUCUUUGAUGUGCAAAUUUUAGGUGCUCGGUGUAUAACAUAUAUGCAUAUAGGAAUACUGAAACAGGGAAGUCUCUCCUUGCUGUCUGAAAGGAUUCAGCUCAUACUUGACUGCUUUGUUUUUUGUUUGUAGCUCUGGAUUUAUUAAAGAUUAAGGUAAUCCCCUAGGCAAGCUGACCCAUGAGGCGACAUCACAUCACAACAUUUACUAGGCAGAAUAUGCUUAAGGGGUGAUUUCUAUUUCCUUCCCCAGUUGUCUACGCUUUACUCUCAGCCAGUUGGGUACUUACUUCUCUCCAGUUCCUAGUCCAAGUGUCUUAGGGACAGCCCAACUCACUAGAUGCACUGACAGUUGCUUUAGGCAGUAUUCCCAGAGUGCAGGCUUAUCAACAAGUCCCCUCAAAUAGGGAUCCCCUUCCCCAAAUUCUUGGGGCAACAAGAUCCAAAAAUACACAGGCAACAGUGUCCCUCUUGCGGUUUUCCCCAGUUGCAGCCUUUUCCCCCUCCCUUUACUCAGACGAACAGUUAUGGCUGUUACAGCUCCCUUUCCCUGUUUCACACAAAUGAAUGGACAUGUGUGAAUAGGCUGAAUCCCACCCCUGGGUAUAAGCCUUCCAGAGCCAAACUCUCUCUUUAUCAUUUUGAACUCCAGUAGCAUCUUGUAUCUCCCUUCUUCAGAUACUGAAGAUGGAUACGCUUCUAAGAAGUGACAGGAAAGGGACUGCAAUUAUAUUAUGAGGAGCCUUACAGGAAAGCAUUAACUGAGGCCCUCCCCACAUCUGAGAAGAUAAACACAACUUUUACAUUGGUCCGAAGUCAGAAAAAGUAUCAUCUGUAGAUUCAGAUUAUACCAACAUCUGUUAGCAUAGUCCUUCUUAAGUUACCAUCAGAUCUUUCGGGGUCCUGUCUAAGGGCUGAUAAACAUAGCUAACUCAUUGUCAUGAUCAAAAAUGGAGCAGUGGAGAGGGAUGUUGUUGUAUCUGAAGAAGGGAGAUACAAGAUGCUACUGGACUUUAAAAUGAUGAAGAGAGAGUUCGCUCUGGAAGGCUUAUACCCGGAAAAUCUUCCUGGUCUCUAAGGAGUUUUUGGACUCAAACCUAACUCUUCUAUUA